rnacentral:rRNA from 1 species
UGGGGAAUUUUGGACAAUGGGCGAAAGCCUGAUCCAGCAAUGCCGCGUGUGUGAAGAAGGCCUUCGGGUUGUAAAGCACUUUUGUCCGGAAAGAAAUCCUUGGCUCUAAUACAGUCGGGGGAUGACGGUACCGGAAGAAUAAGCACCGGCUAACUACGUGCCAGCAGCCGCGGUAAUACGUAGGGUGCAAGCGUUAAUCGGAAUUACUGGGCGUAAAGCGUGCGCAGGCGGUUUGCUAAGACCGAUGUGAAAUCCCCGGGCUCAACCUGGGAACUGCAUUGGUGACUGGCAGGCUAGAGUAUGGCAGAGGGGGGUAGAAUUCCACGUGUAGCAGUGAAAUGCGUAGAGAUGCGGAGGAAUACCGAUGGCGAAGGCAGCCCCCUGGGCCAAUACUGACGCUCAUGCACGAAAGCGUGGGGAGCAAACAGGAUUAGAUACCCUGGUAGUCCACGCCCUAAAACGAUGUCAACUAGUUGUUGGGGAUUCAUUUCCUUAGUAACGUAGCUAACGCGUGAAGUUGACCGCCUGGGGAGUACGGUCGCAAGAUUAAAACUUAAAUGAAUUGACGGGGUCAUAGCUGUUUCCU